rnacentral:rRNA from 1 species
GACGAACGCUGGCGGCGUGCUUAACACAUGCAAGUCGAACGGAAAGGCCCUGCUUUUGUGGGGUGCUCGAGUGGCGAACGGGUGAGUAACACGUGAGUAACCUGCCCUUGACUUUGGGAUAACUUCAGGAAACUGGGGCUAAUACCGGAUAGGAGCUCCUGCUGCAUGGUGGGGGUUGGAAAGUUUCGGCGGUUGGGGAUGGACUCGCGGCUUAUCAGCUUGUUGGUGGGGUAGUGGCUUACCAAGGCUUUGACGGGUAGCCGGCCUGAGAGGGUGACCGGCCACAUUGGGAAUGAGAUACGGCCCAGACUCCUACGGGAGGCAGGAGUGGGGAAUAUUGCACCAUGGGCGGGAGCCCUAUGCCGCAACGCCGCGUGCGGGAUGACGGCCUUCGGGUUGUAAACCGCUUUCGCCUGUGACGAAGCGUGAGUGACGGUAAUGGGUAAAGAAGCACCGGCUAACUACGUG